GGGGCUUCCUUUCUGAGGUCCUGAUUUCAGGGAGAAAAUGGAAAAGGCUAACAGGGACAACCAAGAUCAGCCAGAACAACUUUCACUACCAUGUUCGUUUCCCCUCAUUUAGGUACUCGUGAAUAUUUGCAGGGUACAUCGCCUGAGGACUAGGAGCAUGUGACUGAUAGGUAUUGCAGCUGACACCAUGGAAAGAGAGUGGAGGGGGACCAGGGGAACAUUUUUAGGUGUGAUGCUAUAAAACUCAUUCAGAAUGUUGGGCACAAUUGAAAAACACCGUCGGACAGGCACAGUGGCUCACACCUGUAAUCCCAGCACUUUUGGAGGCUGCGGUGGGCAGAUCACUUGAGGUCAGGAGUUCGAGACCAGCCUGACCAACACGGUGAAACCCCAUCUCUACUAAAAAUAUAAAAAUUAGCCGGGCUUGGUGGCGAGCGCCUGUAUUCCCAGCUACUCAGGAGGCUGAGGCAGGAGAAUCGCUUGAAUCUAGGGUCCUGGCCCCUGUCAGCCUAGAACAUUUCCACAAACAGAACUGAGUACUGAGUGGUGAGUGGGUGAGGCCAUCGUUUCUCAACUUCAGGUUAGGAUGAAGUAUAAUAAAUAAGAUUGACAGCACACGGCAGGGGGAGGGGCAGGCAGAGACAAGGAGAAAGUGGUGUUGAAAACAGGGGCUGCAGCAGGAUCGGAGAGAAUCAAAGGCGAAGACCAAGCUCUCCUAUCUUUUUUUUUUUUUUUUGAUAAUGGAGUUUUGCUCUUGUUGCCCAGGCUGGAGUACAAUGGCGGGAUCUCGGCUCACUGCAACCUCCGCCUGUCAGGUUCAAGUGAUUCUCCUACCUCAGCUUCUCUCUCUCUCUUUUUUUUUUUUUUUGGUGCCGUGACUCUGAUACAAACCGAGGUUGCUGUGGCCACAACGCAGAAUACUCCUCAGCUUCUCAAGUGGCUGGAAUUGCAGGCAUGCGCCACCACACCCGGCUAGGAUCUAGGAGGCUGAGGUUGCAGUGAGCCAAGUGGAGUGCACCAAAAACAAACCAAAAACCAAAAACAAAAAAUACCAUCACCGCCACCACCUGCCCUGGGAUGAGAAAGGUGAUUGUAACCCAGGUUUAGGAGACGGCCAUUGCCGGGAUGCCUGGGUGGCUGGAGGUGAGGCCGAUACUGGUAAGCACUGCUCUAUACUGCACACAAAAACAUUUAACCACAUCUCUACCCGUCUUUAAAUAGAUGCUGCUCCAUCUCUCCCCACACCCCAAAAUCUGUCUCUUCUGGCCCCCUUCUAGGGACCUCCUGGAGCUUCUUAAAAUCCAGCUGCUAAAGGGCUAAGUCUGGCAUAGCUGAGGUCCAGGACCUUGUUUCAGAGUUAAAUCUGGUAUCCGUUGUCAGACAUUUUGAAUAGUGCCCCUGUUAUCCCAAUGACUGUAAUAUGUGUUGGCAGAGGCAUCUGGAAGGAGCUUUGCUGUGGCAAUGCUUGAAGGCUGAUCCACUGAAUCUGAGAGUGAGUUCUGGUACAUGGGAGGGGGGGCCAUGGCAUGAAACCCGUUCCUAGACAUCGAAAUUUGAUUUAUUAACUUUGGCAACAGAUACAGGCCAUCUUGCCAACAAACUUUCUGAAAUUGAAAUCGCAUGAAACUUUCCUAGUUCCUCCUGCUAGUGCCGCAUACGCCCUUUUCUUUCUAAGGCAGCAAAUUCACUUAAAAAUAAUUAAAAAAAGAUUGAUGGGAUUUUGGAAUUGUAAUGAAAAAU
rnacentral:lncRNA from 13 species